rnacentral:rRNA from 1 species
UACGUAGGGGGCUAGCGUUGUCCGGAAUCAUUGGGCGUAAAGAGCGUGUAGGCGGCCCGGUAAGUCCGCUGUAAAAGUCAAAGGCUCAACCUUUGAAUGUCAGUGGAUACUGCCGGGCUAGAGUCCGGAAGAGGCGAGUGGAACUCCUGGUGUAGCGGUGGAAUGCGCAGAUAUCAGGAAGAACACCGACGGCGAAGGCAGCUCGCUAGGACGGUACUGACGCUGAGACGCGAAAGCGUGGGGAGCGAACAGG